AUCACUUAGGCAUAAUAUAUAUGUAUAUCUCAAGGAUCCAUCAUGGUUACAAGCAUAUGUAGGUUCACAAGCCCAGUAUUACAGCACAACAUCCUUCAUGUAAUUCACUAUUCCCAUGCGCACAGAGGCAUACAUAUGUAGGUCAAUAGGUCCAAUAUUGCAUAAUAGAGAAAAGCGCAAAAUACAACAUCUGGUUUCAGCUACAAACAGAUCCCAGCAGAAGAUCCUUCCAGCUCACAAAACACAACUAUUUAAAGUUGUGGAUGCAAGAGAAUUACACCGGUGACCAAUAAAAAAAGAAGCGGCCAAUUAGAUAAGCUGGGAAGAACACAUGUUUCAGAAAUCCACUGCACAACUACUUGCAAGCAAGAGCAGAUCAGAAUUCCACAAGGCACACCCAUAAUGUCUGUUAUGUACUCAUAAGAAUAGAUAAGGCACAUGGUGAUCAUAGUUAAGGUUCUCACUUUGCAAAUCAUCACCAACUUACUUGGAUCAAGGUUUACUUUUCCAAUUUAAUAGAAUAUAAUGAUUAACUUGGAAGUUGCUAUGUUUGUUAUUAGCAAAGAUGGAAAAGCUAUAAUUAUUUUUCAAUAGAAUGGCCCUUGUGAUUAGAAGAAGAAAUUGUAAUUUUAGAUGAACUAAAUAUGGAUCCAUGGUAAUCUAUCUUGAUUGAAAAUUACAAGCUCAGGUAGGCUCUAUUCAGACAGUGUGAGAAUGGCUCUCAGAGAACAAAAAGAAAGAAGAGCGUUGGCCCUAGUCUCUGCUAGCAUUCAUCCCAAACAACCAGGAAAAGUGAGGUCUAAUUUUUUUCAAUAGCUAGUUCAUUGUACACUUUGUCUAGAUGAUAAUGAAAACAGAAUUAGCAAGAAUUCUAGAAUCUGCAAUACCUUCUAGAUGUGGGGACUGCUACCGGCUGUGAUGGUUGCUUCUGCGUAACUUCACAAACAAACUCCAGAACGAGUGAAGCAAAUGGUUUCACAAGGUGAGUAGACCAGCCUUGUAGCAACGUUGCCAACCUGAAGAGGAAAUAAGUCAAUUAACACAUACUCCCUCCGUUCCUAAAUAUUUGUCUUUUUAGAGAUUUCAACAAGUGACUACAUACGGAGUAAAAUGAGUGAAUCUACACUUUAAAAUAUGUCUAUAUACAUCCAUAUGUGGUAGUCCAUUUGAAAUCUCUAAAAAGACAAAUAUUUAGGAACGGAGGGAGUACAUGUAUUGUAGAGGAUUCAUGCAAGAGAGUUCAUGCAGAAAAAAACAAGUGCACCCCAUUUAGGAAAAAUGAAAAGAAGGACAUGCAGAAAAAAAAGUUAAAAUGGAAAAACAAAGGGAAACAGUACUUUUAGUUUGUAUUUCACUUUCCAAGUUAGUUAAGGAGUAAAUCUGGGCCAUUAAAUAUGAUUUAGGGAAGUGAAAACAGUAGAGUACUAGAAGUGCAUGCGAGCACUAUUUAAAGGGUCUAGCUUGCCAUGUACCGGUGGUGAGUUCUUGUUUAGUCAAUUGAAAAAACAAAAAGUCAACAUUUUUUCAUUUGCCGAGCAAAAUUAUCAAACGCACUACACAAGCUUGCAUGAAACUGCAAACAAACAGGUCAUUUUACUAUAUCACCAAGCAGACCAUAAGAAUGGCAGCUCAAACAAGUACAUGUUUUACAAACAAAGUGGUUAUUCUAUAUUAGAACAAUUGUCGGUCAGUGAUUAAGAAAUACAUGUUCGCUCAACCUAAAAGCUGAAGAGCUGAUGUCCAAAUGUGAGUACGUGACUAACUAGACAACAAAUUUUGCUAGCUGAAACUGAACAAGGAUAUGCUGUUUUGGUUUUAUCUGGGAUUUUUUGAACCAUCCAGCAACAGCCUACCUAUGUAUGUACUAGCUGAAGGAGUAGUACUGUUGGGACUUCAGAGUACUCUAGUAGUAUUGGUUUUCGAGAGAUGUCUUUUUUGAAUGACAGCUGAUGUACACUAAAACUGGGUGUCUAAAGCAAGAAAGUUUCAGCUAGGUUUAGAAACAAUUUCUAGUUUUCACACUAACUAUUAUGAAUAAGAAAAUUUCAAACUUUAGAUUUGUGGUACUGAAGCUUAGGCAAUUAGCAAGUUGCAUAGCUAACAGGCUUAGCGUUUGAAGAUGAGCCCUCGUGUCGUCCUAGGCAGGGACAAGGCUUAGUGUUCAUAGAUGAGCCUUCGCGUCGCCCUGGGCGAGGACGAGGCUUAGUGUUUAUAGAUGAGCCCUCCCAUCGCACUGGGCAGGGACAACGCAAGUAGUGCGUUUUCUGUCUAGAGUACAGACGGAUGGUGAAUGGCAGCAAGCAACAAUAAAAACGAGUUUUAUUUUGUAUGCUCGAGGCACAAGAAUCAUUGGGCCUGGAAUGUGAAGCUACAGGAAGUUGCACAUCAGUACAACAAUCCAUCCAACCGAAAACUCCAUCCAGCACUAGCAGGACAACACAAUUUUCAACCCUUGCCUAAAUAUAACCAGCCAACACAAAUCAAUUUUUUUACAAACCUAAAUAAGGCCGUGAAAUCGUAAUUACAAACCGAAGCAACCUUUGACGUAUUCAAAACAUAGUCAAACGAUACCAUACAACGAUAGAACCAAAUUACGAGAUAUUCUAAAUAUAGUCAAACCAUUGGUCGAUAGCACACAACAAUAUAAACGAAUCAAGUCUUCAGUUAAGAUCAAGAAUCUCACCAAAAGAUGCAGUUGGCACUUGUUCAGUUACUGAUGGCUGCAGCUUGAUACCUUCUUCACUUGCCAACCAAGACCUUAAAACUUGUCUUUAAAGUUGAGUUUAUGCCGAUUAGCCUGCAAAGCAGGAAAACGUAAUAAGCAUUGAUGAAGAACAAUCAACAACACAUGUAAUAUUAAUAGAAUAUAUAAGUUAACAAUGUACAACAGUUUAUAUUUGAAUAAGUAAUUUUUCUACAGGCCAAAGCGUCAUGCAAAAGUAAACAUUGGCAAAACAUUACACCGAUAGUGUACAUCACAUAAGUAUUUGUUCAACUAACAAGAACAGCAAGACAAACCUAACUUCUCUAGAUAACCAUCAUAAGGUCACAAACCUUACUUGUGCAAGAUAUGACCAGGAAAUGGCAACUGAUAUACUGUACAUGAGAAGACAGUCAGUAUCAACAACAUAUAAAAUGGGCAAAGGUAGAAGCAUACACCAGCAGUAUUUAUGGCAUGAAAUGCUCUGUUGUAGAUGGAUUUAUAUUUAGCCCAGCAAGAAGUACCACAAACUAGUUAAUGCAUCAUCCAGAUCAUUUAUGAAACUAAAUCAGAAGUACUACAUCAUAUACACUACAUAGCACCUGAUAGGCAUUAACUACGAAUCAUGUUUUGGGCAGUCAUGCAAAUUUUUCCUAGUGGAGGAAAGUUCAAGUUACAAGAAUCUAUUAGACUCAUAGCUCAUAGCCAAAUCUACUAUAUAUGUCGGCACAACAAGACAAUCUUUGCCUGUCCGCGCAAUAAGAACAUGGUUCAAAAAGCAUACCUGUAAAGACCAAGCACGAAUGGAGAACAAAGCUUAGUGGCAGCCUCUAUGUGCGAAUCUGAGAUUGUUGUUGUUGCUGCUGCUUCAGUUAACGAACAUGUGGCAGAGAACAAUCCUGGUAGCACGAACAGACAAUCAAUUAGAUCUUAAUCACGCUGUGCUGUAGUGCGAGGCAAAGCAGGUGACGGGGGUGGCGAGUGGGAUGGGGAGGUGUUGUUGUUGGGGAUCGGGACGACGUUUAGGGUGAUAAGGAGGGGAUGGGGCGGUGUCAUGGUCGGCGAAUGGGGCACCAACGCUGGAUUGGGGGAUACUGGUGCGGCAUGGACGAAGAUGGGGUGCCUGCUGGUUGGGGAAUGCGCGGCGGCGGCUCUGGGAGUGGGAUCCGGGUGUGGUGUGGAUGGGGAUGGGCAGCGGCGUGAGUCGGAGGUGCGAGUGUGUGGGGGGUCGUCGAUGGAGAUUGGGUGGCGGCACGGCUGGGUGGAGGCAUGGAUGGAGGAUGCAGGGGCGUCGGGCGAUGGGUGGGUGACGAAGGGAAUGGAGGCGGCGGUGCCGAGCGGGGCGGGCAAGGAUGGGAGUGAGUCGGCGAGGGCGCUAGGGUUGGCGGAGUCGACGGCGAGAUGUAGUGCGGCGGCUGACAAGGGAGGGAGAGCGGCUGAGGAGAUAUGUUUUUUUUAGUCCAGCUGAGGGGAUAUGUGGAAUUGUGGAGAAGGGGGAAAUUAAGCCCGCGUGGCCGCGGU
rnacentral:lncRNA from 1 species